rnacentral:snoRNA from 1 species
AUCCCAUGAUGAGGACAGGCGGCGACGUACUCCUGCAGACGCUCAUAAGCUUCUAGUAUGGAUUCCUCCUUCAUUGCUGGAAAUUGGAAAUUCUUUCGCGAAGGGC